CCUAAUCCCUAAUUCCCUAUCUUUCCUCUACUGAUUGUUGCGAUUCCUGCGAACUUGCGAAGUGCGAAUGACGAACAGCGGCGAAGUGCAACUCCGACCAGCUGCGCGGACGACGGCGACCAGCCCUCAGCGACCGCGACCAACCCUCCCCUCCGCAACCGCGACCAGCGACCAUCCCUCUCCACGCCUCCGCGACCGCGACCAGCCGACUGUGUUCAGUGUUCUGGACCUCUGAUUUGGCAUAUAAGUAUAUUGUUAAUGUGACAGUGUGACUGUGAGUAAGAGGGGUACUGACUAGUGACUACGGAGUGUAAAGAGAAAGAUGUAUGUUCUAUUUUCCUAAUAUGAGAAUGGGACAAGUUUAGUUUCUACUUCAAUUUUAACUUCAGCUUCAACUUCAACUUCAUCUUCUUCACAUGUUCAAGCACAUUCCUCUCAUGCACGACAAGUAAAUUACUUUGGAGAGUAUACGGAUUUUUCUAGUGAAAAUGUUAGUGUUAUUAAAAAAAUAUGAUCUAGAUACAUAUCUAGAAGAGUGAAUCACUUGAGAAGGCUUCUAACUUCUAAUGUUCUUGGACUCUUGGUGAAUGAAGUCGUGAAGAUGAAUGAUGAUGGCAUGAUGCUAAUAAUGCUAUUUGUAUUGAGUAUUGUCUAGUGGAGUAUUAUUAAAAAAUUAUUGUGAUAAUUGAUGAAUGCAAAUGAACUUGGAAUGUUUAACUUCUUUUGGUUGUUUAUGGACUUAAGACUUUAAUGAUUUAUUGAUUUAUGGACUUUCAAGAA